GACGAACUGUGCGAACGUUAUUCGGAAUCACUGGGCUUACAGGGUGCGUAGGCGGCUUGAAAAGUAGGGUGUGAAAUCCCCCGGCCCAACCGGGGAACUGCGCUCUAAACUGUCAGGCUUGAGUAAGCUAGGGGUGCACGGAACUUCCAGUGGAGCGGUGAAAUGUGUUGAUAUUGGAAGGAACACCGGAGGCGAAAGCGGUGCACUGGGGCUUAACUGACGCUGAGGCACGAAAGCCAGGGGAGCGAACGGG
rnacentral:rRNA from 1 species